rnacentral:rRNA from 1 species
GACGAACGCUGGCGGCAUGCUUAACACAUGCAAGUGGAGCGACGAACCCUUACGGGGGCAAAGCCGCGAACGGGUGAGUAACACGUGGGCAAUCUGCCCCGAUGACCGGAAUAACCCGAGGAAACUCGAGCUAAUACCGGAUGUGCCUUCCCCUCACAAGAGGGUCAGGUAAAGAGAGCUUACGGCUAUUCGCAUCGGGGAGGAGCCCGCGGAGCAUUA